rnacentral:rRNA from 1 species
CCUACGGGGGGCUGCAGUGGGGAAUAUUGGACAAUGGGGGGAACCCUGAUCCAGCCAUGCCGCGUGUGUGAAGAAGGCCCUCGGGUUGUAAAGCACUUUCAGUGAGGAAGAACGCCUGGUGGUUAAUACCCAUCAGGAAAGACAUCACUCACAGAAGAAGCACCGGCUAACUCCGUGCCAGCAGCCGCGGUAAUACGGAGGGUGCGAGCGUUAAUCGGAAUUACUGGGCGUAAAGCGCGCGUAGGUGGCUUGAUGAGCCGGUUGUGAAAGCCCCGGGCUCAACCUGGGAACGGCAUCCGGAACUGUCAAGCUAGAGUGCAGGAGAGGAAGGUAGAAUUCCCGGUGUAGCGGUGAAAUGCGUAGAGAUCGGGAGGAAUACCAGUGGCGAAGGCGGCCUUCUGGACUGACACUGACACUGAGGUGCGAAAGCGUGGGUAGCAAACAGGAUUAGAUACCCCGGUAGUC